AUUCAAAGCGAUCUGCACCCAGCCAGAGGUGAAGAUCAGAGCUGGAUUACUCAGGCAACCAAGGCGGUCGCCUAGAGUCCCUGACUGGGUCAGGAGCUCCCACACUGCAAACAUUUUUCAGGUAAUGGUUUGAGGAACAUGACAAAGAGUUCAAGGUGUUUCCUUGGCCUUUAAAUUCCCCAGAUCUCAAUCCAAUUAAGCAUCUGUGGGAUGUACUGGAACAACAAAUCCGAUCCAUGGAGGUUCCACCUCACAACUUGCAGGACGUAAAGGAUCUGCUGCUAAUGUCUUGGUGCCAGAUACUACAAGACAAGUUCAGAGGUCUUGUGGAGUUCAUGUCUCGACACAUGAAACCUACUUGGCAGCACGAGAGGAAUCUCCACAAUAUUAGGCAAGUGGUUUUAAUGUUGUGGCUGAUCAGUGUAUGUGUGUAUUAGUGUGUGAUUGUGAGUGUCUAUGUGAGUGUGUGUCCAACUUCCUUGGCUUACAUUGUUCAGUUUUGUAUGCGCAAUGUAUAUAGAAACAUAGAAACAUAGAAUGUGACGGCAGAUAAGAACCAUUCGGCCCAUCAAGUCUGCCCAAU